rnacentral:rRNA from 1 species
UACAGAGGGGGCAAGCGUUAUUCGGAAUUAUUGGGCGUAAAGGGCGCGUAGGCGGCCUGGCAAGUGGAAGGUGAAAUCCCUCGGCUUAACCGAGGAACUGCCCUCCAAACUGCUUGGCUUGAGUCCGGGAGAGGUGAGUGGAAUUCCCAGUGUAGCGGUGAAAUGCGUAGAUAUCCGGAGGAACACCGGUGGCGAAGGCGGCUUCCUGGACCGACACUGACGCUGAGGCGCGAAAGCUAGGGGAGCAAACGGG